UUUGGCAUAAAACAUGUUGAUACUUCUCUGGUGCCAGGGGCGGCGGACCAAGGGGUCAAGGUGGUUCAUCGCUAUCCGUGGUGCAUCCAGUCCAUGAUUCAGAGGUUCACGCAAUGCGUUUCGGUACGGUCAAGUGGUUCAACGAUGCCAAGGGUUUCGGCUUCAUCGCGCCCGAGGACGGUGGGGAGGACGUGUUCGUCCACUUUUCGGCGAUCAACGCUAAGGGCUUUCGUAGCCUGCAGGAAGGUCAGCGCGUGCAGUUCGAAGUCACCACGGGGCCGAAGGGCGCCCAGGCUUCGGGCGUCGAGAUCGCUGGUUGAUUUCGGUGAGCCGGCGCCUGCGUCGGUCAUCGAUCUAAAAGAAGCCCCGCGCCGUAAAGCGCGGGGCUUCUU
rnacentral:sRNA from 1 species